UACGUAGGGGGCAAGCGUUGUCCGGAUUUAUUGGGCGUAAAGAGCGUGUAGGCGGCUAGGUAGGUCCGUUGUGAAAACUCGAGGCUCAACCUCGAGACGCCGAUGGAAACCAUCUGGCUAGAGUCCGGAAGAGGAGAGUGGAAUUCCUGGUGUAGCGGUGAAAUGCGCAGAUAUCGGAAGGAACAUCAGUGGCGAAAGCGGCUUCCUGGACCAGUACCGACGUCAGGCACGAAAGCGUGGGGAGCAAACAGG
rnacentral:rRNA from 1 species